rnacentral:rRNA from 1 species
GACGAACGCUGGCGGCGUGCUUAACACAUGCAAGUCGAACGGAAAGGCCCUGCUUUUGUGGGGUGCUCGAGUGGCGAACGGGGGAGUAACACGUGAGUAACCUGCCCUUGACUUUGGGAUAACUUCAGGAAACUGGGGCUAAUACCGGAUAGGAGCUCCUGCUGCAUGGUGGGGGUUGGAAAGUUUCGGCGGUUGGGGAUGGACUCGCGGCUUAUCAGCUUGUUGGUGGGGUAGUGGCUUACCAAGGCUUUGACGGGUAGCCGGCCUGAGAGGGUGACCGGCCACAUUGGGACUGAGCUACGGCCCAGACUCCUACGGGAGGCAGCAGUGGGGAAUAUUGCACAAUGGGCGGAAGCCUGAUGCAGCAACGCCGCGUGCGGGAUGACGGCCUUCGGGUUGUAAACCGCUUUCGCCUGUGACGAAGCGUGAGUGACGGUAAUGGGUAAAGAAGCACCGGCUAACUACGUG